rnacentral:rRNA from 1 species
GGAAUAUUGGUCAAUGGGCGAGAGCCUGAACCAGCCAAGUAGCGUGCAGGAAGACUUCCCUAUGGGUUGUAAACUGCUUUUAUCAGGGAAUAAAGUGCGGCACGUGUGCUGUUUUGUAUGUACCUGAUGAAUAAGGACCGGCUAAUUCCGUGCCAGCAGCCGCGGUAAUACGGAAGGUCCGGGCGUUAUCCGGAUUUAUUGGGUUUAAAGGGAGCGCAGGCGGAAGGUUAAGCGUGACGUGAAAUGUACCGGCUCAACCGGUGAUGUGCGUCGCGAACUGGCUUUCUUGAGUGAGUACGACGCUGGCGGAAUUCGUGGUGUAGCGGUGAAAUGCUUAGAUAUCACGAAGAACUCCGAUUGCGAAGGCAGCCAACAAGGCCUUUACUGACGCUAAAGCUCGAAGGUGCGGGUAUCGAACA